CCUUUCUCUUCCUUCCCAUGUUCUCUCGAUUUAGAUCCGGUCUUGCUCGUGUUUUUGGAUCCCUGUCGUUGCUGAUUGCCGGCGGCGCCAACCGCGGAGGCCCCUGGUGGGGGCGCCAGCCGCUGGUACAAGUACCGUGGCAGGGGCGUGGCGGAUGAGCUGUUUGAUCUGCUCGAGUAAUUUGCCUACAGUAUUGUUUAAUCAUGCUACCAAGUACACUAAUGGCUUGUUUUGCGUGAUGCCUAUCAGAUGAAAUAAAGGCACUUUUAUUUGCGUUCCUUUCUAAAUGUAACCCAUUUUCCAUACUUAAUUUAUCUAAGUAAUUCAUUGUCUUUACCGGAAUCCAAAGUUAAGUGAUAUUACUCCUUAUAUUUUGGAUAUGCUAAUUGAUGAUGAUACUUAUAUUUUGAACACUUUCAAGCUGAAAGUAAGAAUGUUUUUAAAUGUUAUGCUGACAAGUAGGCUGGUAAAUUUCUAUGUAUUUCUUGUGUGUUUUUUGUUACCUUCUUGGCCUCGAUGGGGAGAGUUAAAAAGUGUAAACAUGUUGAAAAAAGAACCGUAAAUACCCAUAAGAUUUGCUGCAAGCCUAGGCUUGCCUUUUUAUCUAGGAACAAUUCCAGUCCUGAUGGCAAUUACUGCUUUGAAAAACCUUGUAGAUUAAGUCAAUGUGAAUUCAUUAUAUCAUAUUCGAAGUUCAUGAAGAGCUUCAGUCAACCAUUUUCUUCUGGGUUGAGGUUCAAACUGAGAUAUGAGAGUGAUGAUGCUAUGGAAAGAAGGCAUGCUCCAAAAGUAAUCAUUGUGGGGAGACAAUAUUUUCUCUAGUCAGAUCGGAUGAUGAUGUAGAUUUCCAUCGACCAAACAGGAUUUCUCCUUGGGAGGUUGAGCUGAGGAGGUUGAGCUGACUAGUUCAGUUUGAAGAACCAUCUGUCUGCACCAAAGGUGAAGAGACUGAAACCAUGUCUUCACCAUGUCAAUCCAGUCUACCUAGUUUCAAGUGGAAGUGGUCGUCCUGAUUUUGCUGAAUUUGUCCAAUUCCACAAGGUCUUGCAAGGUCAAGAAUUAUUGGGCUAUAGAACUCGUGACAGUGCUGCUGUUGCUACUUCUCAGUCAUGUGAAGCAAGGAAUAUGCAGUACAUUGAUG